rnacentral:rRNA from 1 species
AGCGGCGGACGGGUGAGCCCGCUUGGGUAACCUGCCCUAUACACACGGAUAACAUACCGAAAGGUAUGCUAAUACGAGAUAAUAUAAGAGAUUCACAUGGAUUUCUUAUCAAAGCUGAGGCGGUAUAGGAUGGACCCGCGUCUGAUUAGCUAGUUGGUAAGGUAACGGCUUACCAAGGCGACGAUCAGUAGCCGACCUGAGAGGGUGAUCGGCCACAUUGGAACUGAGACACGGUCCAAACUCCUACGGGAGGCAGCAGUGGGGAAUAUUGCACAAUGGGCGAAAGCCUGAUGCAGCAACGCCGCGUGAGUGAUGAAGGCCUUCGGGUCGUAAAACUCUGUCCUCAAGGAAGAUAGUGACGGUACUUGAGGAGGAAGCCCCGGCUAACUACGUGCCAGCAGCCGCGGUAAUACGUAGGGGGCUAGCGUUAUCCGGAUUUACUGGGCGUAAAGGGUGCGUAGGUGGUCUCUUAAGUCAGGAGUGAAAGGCUACGGCUUAACCGUAGUAAGCUCUUGAAACUGGGAGACUUGAGUGCAGGAGAGGAAAGUGGAAUUCCUAGUGUAGCGGUGAAAUGCGUAGAUAUUAGGAGGAACACCAGUAGCGAAGGCGGCUUUCUGGACUGUAACUGACACUGAGGCACGAAAGCGUGGGGAGCAAGCAGGAUUAGAUACCCUGGUAGUCCACGCCGUAAACGAUGAGUACUAGGUGU